rnacentral:rRNA from 1 species
CCUGGCGGCAGUAGCGCGGUGGUCCCACCUGACCCCAUGCCGAACUCAGAAGUGAAACGCCGUAGCGCCGAUGGUAGUGUGGGGUCUCCCCAUGUGUUCGU